rnacentral:rRNA from 1 species
AUUGCACGCUGGCGGCAGGCCUAACACAUGCAAGUCGAGCGGAUGAAGGGAGCUUGCUCCUGGAUUCAGCGGCGGACGGGUGAGUAAUGCCUAGGAAUCUGCCUGGUAGUGGGGGAUAACGUCCGGAAACGGGCGCUAAUACCGCAUACGUCCUGAGGGAGAAAGUGGGGGAUCUUCGGACCUCACGCUAUCAGAUGAGCCUAGGUCGGAUUAGCUAGUUGGUGGGGUAAAGGCCUACCAAGGCGACGAUCCGUAACUGGUCUGAGAGGAUGAUCAGUCACACUGGAACUGAGACACGGUCCAGACUCCUACGGGAGGCAGCAGUGGGGAAUAUUGGACAAUGGGCGAAAGCCUGAUCCAGCCAUGCCGCGUGUGUGAAGAAGGUCUUCGGAUUGUAAAGCACUUUAAGUUGGGAGGAAGAGCAGUAAGUUAAUACCUUGCUGUUUUGACGUUACCAACAGAAUAAGCACCGGCUAACUUCGUG